GACAAACCGGAGGAAGGUGGGGAUGACGUCAAGUCCUCAUGGCCCUUAUGGGUAGGGCUUCACACGUCAUACAAUGGUCGGAACAGAGGGUUUGCCAACCCGCGAGGGGGGAGCUAAUCCCAGAAAACCGAUCGUAGUCCGGAUUGCACUCUGCAACUCGAGUGCAUGAAGCUGGAAUCGCUAGUAAUCGCGGAUCAGCAUGCCGCGGUGAAUACGUUCCCGGGUCUUGUACACACCGCCCGUCACACCAUGGGAGUGGGUUUUACCAGAAGUGGCUAGUCUAACCGCAAGGAGGACGGUCACCACGGUAGAUUCAUGACUGGGGUGAAGUCGUAACAAGGUAGCCGUAUCGGAAGGUGCGGCUGGAUCACCUCCUUUC
rnacentral:rRNA from 1 species